UUCAGUGGCGUCGGCGUGAACGGGUCGGCAUUGUGACGUGCAUGCGGCCGAAACGGUGUCUUUCGAAAAGAAAAAAGACAAGAAACAGUGCGCGUUUACUUUUCGACCUUCCUACUUGUCGCUCGUUCAGCCUGAUCUCACCACCAUCAUCGGCAUCGUUGUCUUUUUUUUUCUAAUGACAACCUGUCGCUCGAAGAGGAACACGCCUGACUAAAUAAAACCGGAGGGAAAUUAUUCGAAAUACGACAUCGCAAUUUCUAACUCAGGCAAAGUGCAGAAAGGGACCAUUUUUACGAUUCCUUAGUUUGAGGAGAAGCAAACAGUAGUAGCACGUGAGAAUGUGCAGGCGGAAUUCGGAAGGAUAUUGGGGAUAAUAAAAUUCUAAACGGUAUGCCCUAUUUCUUUUUGCGGUUAUUUACUAUAUAACGCAGUUCUCAAAGCGCGAGUGCCAUUAGAUCGCACUUUAUGCAAAAACUCCUCAAAGUACAGAACCAUUUGAUAUUUGCACGCAUUACUGUAUAUGUAAUACAAUGCAUAUAUUUCAUGUACAAUUACGUUAUUGUAUGGCAUAUAACGCACCCCGGGUGUUGUAUGUCACUAAUGAAUUUAAUAACAUCUUGCAACGCGCAUUAUUAUGUUUCUUUAUCAGCUUUCAUCAAUCGUAUUUUAAGUCACAUUAUUUUGUAUUUUUACAGAGACUUUUUUAAGAGUGGAUGUAUCUCGGCGUGUAACCUGCCCUUCGGAGAAAAAUUUAUACCAACCCUCCGAAAUGUAAGAACCAAAUCCGUAGACUGAAAUUUAUGUUUGCGUCAUUAUGCUAUAUGUAUUAUGUUACAUGUUAUUAUGCUGAAUGUAUUAUGUU